CGGCCGCUACUUUACCGAGCGCCAUUUUGAUUGCGAAGUGAAACAUUAGAUUGAAUUGAUGAGGUUUAAGUCUGGUAAGACGCUUUUAUAGUGCCAUUUCUUGGCAUUGCAUCUGUUCUGCUAUGGUUACAUUUCCGAGUGAAGACUGUAAUAGUUUUGCUGCCAAUCAACUUGGUUGGAAGGGGUAACGAUAUUCGACAAGCCAUCGAGUCAAGUGAUAGGUCCAUCAAAGGUUAAAGAGACGAUGGGACAAAGGAAAUCAGUUCAUCAACAGUUGGAAGGGGUAACGAUAUUCGACAAGCCAUCCAGUCAAGUGAUAGGUCCAUCAAAGGUUAAAGAGACGAUGGGACAAAGGAAAUCAGUUCAUCAACAGGUU